AUUUAAUAAUAUAUCCACACAAUUUUUAUCACAAAUUUUUAAUACUUGUAAUCUUUUGAAUUUAAAUAUUAUCUUUGAAGUACUUUUAAUUUAAAGAACUUCAGAAAUAAUAUUGUAAUGUGAUAUCAAGUAAUGAAAGCUAAAUGGUAACGUGGACUUCCACACCACAUUUGAGGUUCCACGAUUGGCGCAUUAGGUUUUUUGAAGUGGACCUUCGCCUAGAGCCAUAUUAUACCACAUUAAAGACCUAUUUUUUUGGUACAUAAAGCUUAAAUAGAUAUUUUGAAGUCAUAUUGCGUAAGAACACACGUAGAUGAAAAGUUACAUCUACGUAUGAUCGUGCGUAAUAUGACAACAAAUUAUCAUAUUUUUAGAGCAAGUGCUCGAAGUGUCUCCCUUCCUCCUGCUCACAACGUAAAGCCCGACUCAAGAUUGCUUGCUCAAGAUGGAAGCGAGCCGAUUUCAAAGCUUUAUGUACCGUACUCAAACGAACUCCUAGAUUCCGCGCUAUGGUUCGUAUACUGAUGGUUGGCUCAUCCGUAACCAUUUGUCGUAUUUGCGCGGUAUCUAUGCGCUGCGGUCGCCCUGUACGGAGUAUAAAAAUAACGAUAAAAGAAUAGAAUAUUUAAAAUUGCAUUAUUAAAAAAUUUUAUUAAUAUGUACCUGCAGGCUUAAUAGGUCUAAAUUGACCAUAUCUUCGCAGCCUCGACUCCAGCCUCGCAAACAUUCUUCGAUAAGGCUAUCGCCGCUCCGGAUAUCUACGCAUGUAGAGCAACGCAGCUUCUCGCGCAUCCCUGUUGCACACUGCAUAUACCAUUAUCAUAUCACACAUUUCGUCAUACGUGAAAUUGUGAGCCAUGGUUGCACGCACGUUCUCUCACACGGGAUCGAGACGAGACGACAAAAACAGUUGCAAGAAACAACGAAGAAACAGCAACAAUUGAAAAUCGACAGAUAUUUCUUUUCCGCGGGAGACUUUGAAAGUUUACUCUAAAAUUCUCAGAAUAGAAGCAAGCAAGCCAUAUCUUUCUUUACAAGGCUACAGUUGUAGUUGCGAAAAAACGAUCAAUUUCUUUAAAAUUAUGUUCCAAUACAUAUUUAUUUAUAAAAUUGUAUGAUAAAGUAUUCAUUAUUGUGCUUUUUAUCAUUACUUGUAUUACUUUUUCUGUAUACCACACAUAAAAAUGGUAUAAAUUGAAAAAAAUUAUUAAAAAUGUGAGAGAACGUGCAUGCAAUAUAGCUCACAAUUUUACGUUUGAUGAAAUGUGUGACAUGAUCAUGAUUUAUGCAGUGUGCGACAGAGAUUCGUGAGAAGCUACGUUGCUCUAUACGCAGAUAUCCGUAGCGACGACAGCCAUAUCAAAAUAUGUUUGCAAGGCUGGAGUCGAGGCAGCGAACAUACGGUCAAUUUAAACCUAUUAAGCCUGCAGGGCGACCACAGCGCAUACAUACCGCGCAAAUACGACAAAUGGUUACUGAUGAUCCAACCAUCAGUAUACGAACCAUAGCGCGGAAUCUAGGAGUUCGUUUGAGUACGGUACAUAAAGCUUUGAAAUCGGCUCGCCUUGAGUCGGGCUUUACGUUGUGAGCAGGAGGAAGGGAGACACUUCGAGCACUUGCUCUAAAAAUAUGAUAAUUUGUUGUCAUAUUACGCACGAUCAUACGUAGAUGUAACUUUUCAUCUACGUGUGUUCUUACGCAAUAUGACUUCAAAAUAUCUAUUUAAGCUUUAUGUACCAAAAAAAUAGGUCUUUAAUGUGGUAUAAUAUGGCUCUAGGCGAAGGUCCACUUCAAAAAACCUAACGCGCCAAUCGUGGAACCUCAAAGGUGGUGUGGAAGUCCACGUUACCAUUUAGCUUUCAUUACUUGAUAUCACAUUACAAUAUUAUUU